CUACGGGAUGCACCAGGCGCGAAACUUCUACAAUGCACGAAAGUGUGAUAGGGGGAACCUCAGUGCUUAUACAAUGUAUAGGCUUUUGCCAAUGGUAAAUUCAUUGGCGAAUAAGUGGUGGGAAAGACCGGUGCCAGCAGCCGCGGUAAUACCGGCGCCACGAGUGGCAAUCACGUUUAUUGGGUCUAAAGCGUUCGUAGCCGGUUUGAUAAAUCUUUUGUGAAAUUGUCUUGCUUAACAGGACAGCGUGCAGAAGACACUGUUAGACUAGGAACCGGGAGGGGUCAGAAGUAUUUCAGGGGGAGCGGUUAAAUGUUAUAAUCCCUGAAAGACUACCAAUGGCGAAGGCAUCUGACCAGAACGGAUUCGACGGUGAGGAACGAAGGCCAGGGGAGCGAACCGGAUUAGAUACCCGAGUAGUC
rnacentral:rRNA from 1 species